UACGAAGGGCCCGAGCGUUGCGCGGAAUCACUGGGCUUAAAGCGUGCGUAGGCGGGGGCGUAAGUGCCAUGUGAAAGCCCACGGCUCAACCGUGGAAAUGCAUGGUAUACUACGUCCCUUGAGGUCGGUAGAGGUUGCCAGAACUCUAGGUGUAGCGGUGAAAUGCGUAGAUAUCUAGAGGAAUGCCAAUGGUGAAGACAGGCAACUGGGCCGAUUCUGACGCUGAGGCACGAAAGCGUGGGGAGCAAACAGG
rnacentral:rRNA from 1 species